rnacentral:lncRNA from 1 species
GUGUUGGAGGCGAAAAAUGGAGCGGUCAGGACGCAGACUUCGCGAAUGUGUACGGCGAAGCUGAGGAAUCGGAGGGCCCAGUAGAUGAUGGCAGCGGUGACCAUGAGGCCAGGGUAGAGGGUGCCGCCGAUGAUCCGACCCAAGGGGUACCAACUCUCGGAGUCGAACCAGUUCCAGAAUUCGUAGAAGCCCUUCUCGGUAAGGUAGAGGGUAGUACGGUAAUUGAAAUAGGGAUCGAACUCGUGGAUCAUGGACUCGUAGCGGAGGACGCUGAAGAGGCGGGUGAUGAAGGCGAGGACGUAGACCAAGCAGAGGAUGGAGACUCGGAUCAGGAGCUCCUGCUGCUUGGUCUUCAGUUUUAGGGUUUUGAACGAGAAGUUGCCGAGGAGACCUGACAUGGAUGUGGCUAGGGGCGGAGAUUGGCCGGUUUUCGUGGUGGCUGUGGCGUUGAGGGGCUCCGUUUUUCCGACCAUGAUGUUGGUGUUUCGUUUGAGAAAGAAACGAACUGGAGCGAACUGAAUUUCAGGGGUUUGCACUUUUCAGUUGCGUUUCACUUGUACACUUAAAAGUGGUAGGAGUGACAUUUUAGGGAUGACACAAGCACGAAAGACAAGGAUCAAGGAUCAGGAAGGGGAUCUGCUCCUGCGAUUACAAGUGCGAUCACAGGGACGACACAAGCACGACAGACAAGGAUCAAGGAUCAGGAAGGGGAUCUGCUCCUGCGAUUACGAGUGCCAUCACUCGCCGCGACGCAACUUGUUUAGGAGAAUCUCCCGCAGGUCAAACAUUAACAGUGUUGGACUUGGAUAUUUUGGGCUCUUGCUUUAUUUGGGCUGGCUGGGCCCUCGAAUUGGGAUUUCCUUUUUACUAUGAUGUCU